rnacentral:rRNA from 1 species
UACAGAGGGGGCAAGCGUUGUUCGGAAUUACUGGGCGUAAAGGGCGCGUAGGCGGCCUUCUAAGUCGAACGUGAAAUCCCCGGGCUCAACCUGGGAACUGCGUCUGAUACUGGAUGGCUUGAAUCCGGGAGAGGGAUGCAGAAUUCCAGGUGUAGCGGUGAAAUGCGUAGAUAUCUGGAGGAAUACCGGUGGCGAAGGCGGCAUCCUGGACCGGCAUUGACGCUGAGGAGCGAAAGCCAGGGGAGCAAACGGG